AGGUAUUCGGGGAGGACAGGUGGUGCAUGGUUGUCGUCAGCUCGUGUCGUGAGAUGUUGGGUUAAGUCCGCAACGAGCGCAACCCUAUUGCUAGUUACCAUCAUUAAUUGGGGACUCUAGCGAGACUGCCAGUGAUAAACUGGAGGAAGGUGGGGGAUGACGUCAAAUCAUCAUGCCCCUUAUGACCUGGGCUACAAACGUGAUACAAUGGCUGGAACAAAGGGAUGCGAAGCAGUGAUGUGGAGCGAAACCCAUAAAAACAGUCUCAGUUCGGAUUGAAGUCUGCAACUCGACUUCAUGAAGUCGGAAUCGCUAGUAAUCGCGGAUCAGAACGCCGCGGUGAAUACGUUCUCGGGGUUU
rnacentral:rRNA from 1 species